rnacentral:rRNA from 1 species
UGGGGAAUAUUGCACAAUGGGGGAAACCCUGAUGCAGCGACGCCGCGUGAACGAAGAAGGUAUUCGUAUCGUAAAGUUCUGUCCUAUGGGAAGAUAAUGACAGUACCAUAGAAGAAAGCUCCGGCUAAAUACGUGCCAGCAGCCGCGGUAAUACGUAUGGAGCGAGCGUUGUCCGGAAUUAUUGGGCGUAAAGGGUACGCAGGCGUUUUAAUAAGUCAAAUGUUAAAGAUCGGGGCUCAACCCCGUAAAGCAUUGGAAACUGAUAAACUUGAGUAGUAGGGAGGAAAAUGGAUUUCCUAGUGUAGUGGUGAAAUACGUAGAUAUUAGGAGGAAAACCACUAGCGAAGGCUACUUUCUGGACACAAACUGACACCGAGGUACGAAAGCGUGGGGAGCAAGCAGG